ACGCAGCCAACGCUACCCGGAAGCUCAAGUCCUCCCGAGUCACCCUCCCAAUGGCAGGUGUAUACCAACACGUCCCACAGAGAUCAGCAAAGUGAAAUAGCAAUAGUACUUUCUCUCUACUCCAGCGUGUCCGCAUCUUCCUUCCAUCCACAAAAAAUCUUAUCUCUUUGCAUACGAUCCACAAGUAAGAAGAUGUCCUCGGGCUUUAAACCCCGAGCCUCAGAGGAAGUCCGGAGGAGAUAGAAACCCAGUGAAUUAGCUACGCUUUUUGUUAUUUUUUAUGGAAUUUGUUCUUUGGCAACUUUGUACAUGUUUACGGUACAAAAUUGAAGACAAUCUGCCUGCCCUUUAGAACAGAGGUUCUCGACCUUCCUCAUGCUAUGAUCCUUUAACACAGUUCCUCAUGACGUGAUGAUCACAAACCAUUAAAUUAUUUUUAUUGCUAUUUUA